rnacentral:lncRNA from 1 species
GUUGGUUUUUCCAAAGGCUCACCAACCACAACCUUACAACGUUGGUUUUUCCCUUUGGCUCACCAACAAACCUUAACCCCUUGAUUCAAUCCCUUGAUUGAAUCAAGUUACAAGAUAUUAGAACAAGAGUUUAAAUCAAAUACAAGCUUCUCACAUAAGCAAAUAUAGCAAAUAUAAAUAAGUAAAGUAAAGAGAAGAAGCCCUCAAACAAAUUUGUAGGUAGAGGAACUCGGCUUCUUCUUUACUUGACCCUCUUCUGAUUUUGCACGAAGUAGAGGAUCACCGAGGCAGCACACGGAUGGAGAGGAAGCUUUGGGAUUCACUUGGAUACUCUUCUUCUCUCUAUUUUACUUUGAAUGGCCCUUUUGUGCUUAUGGGAGAUUUUUCUUGUAAUCUCUUUGAAAUCUCUUCCCUAAAUGUUCUCUCCCACUUCCAUCCCAUCUUCCCUAGCU